CAAAAUUCCCCAAAUUUCCCCAAAUUUGCCCCAAAAUUCCCCCCAGGCCCGGGACCUGCGCUCCCAGGAGUUGGUGGCCAUCAAGAAAAUGUCCUACAGAGGCCGGGCCUCCAGCGAGAAGUGGCAGGACAUCGUCAGGGAGGUGAAGGUGCUGCAGAGGCUGAGGCACCCGAACACCGUGGGCUUCAGGGGCUGCUACCUCCGGGAGAACACGGCCUGGCUGGCCAUGGAGUUCUGUGUGGGAUCAGCCCUGGACCUGCUGGAAGCUGAUCAGGAGCCGCUGCGGGAGGACCGAGAGGGCCUGGG